UACGUAGGGUGCAAGCGUUGUCCGGAAUUAUUGGGCGUAAAGCGUGCGCAGGCGGUUUUGUAAGUCAGAUGUGAAAUCCCCGGGCUUAACCUGGGAACUGCGUUUGAAACUACAAGGCUAGAGUGUGGCAGAGGGGGGUGGAAUUCCACGUGUAGCAGUGAAAUGCGUAGAGAUGUGGAGGAACACCGAUGGCGAAGGCAGCCCCCUGGGUUAACACUGACGCUCAGGCACGAAAGCGUGGGGAGCAAACAGG
rnacentral:rRNA from 1 species